AGCCGCGGUUAAACCAAGAAGAUCAAGUUAUAUAGUCUCGGUAAAAAAAUAGUUAAGCAAGACUGAUGUCUAUUAAAGGUUCAUAAAAAAGUAAAAUUUGAUCAUAAACAAAAAACUUAAUUUAGGCAAAAAUGUUGAAGCUAUGAAAGCCUCGGGGGAAACUGGGAUUAGAUACCCCAUUAUUCUUGGACAUAAAGUAGUUUUAAUUUACCAGAGUACUACGAACAUAAAUGUUUAAAACUUAAAGGGCUUGGCGGUGUUUUAGACCUCUCAGGGGAACCUGUCUCGUAAUCGACAGUCCACGAUAAACCUAACCUUUUUUCGCAUAUCAGCUUGUAUACCGUCGUCGUCAGGUAACUUUUUAGGAGAAAGAAGUUAGCAGGAAAAUUAAAGUAAAUUUCCACGUCAGAUCAAGGUGCAGUUAAUAAAAAGGAGAGGAUGGGUUACAAUUAUGAAAUCAUAACUACGGAGAGUUAUUUGUAAUAAAAACAGAAAGGAGGACUUGAAAGUAAGAUAAAAUAUAUAAACGUUCUGAAUAAGGCUCUGAAACGUGCACACAUCGCCC
rnacentral:rRNA from 1 species